UCCCUGGUGGCUCAGAUGGUAGAGUAUCUGCUUACAAUGCAGGAGACCCAGGUUUGAUCCCUGGGUCGGGAA
rnacentral:tRNA from 1 species